CAAGGAAUUUUGCGCAAUGGGCGAAAGCCUGACGCAGCAACACCGCGUGGGGGAUGAAGGCCUUCGGGUCGUAAACCCCUUUUCUCAGGGAAGAAGAUCUGACGGUACCUGAGGAAUAAGCCUCGGCUAACUACGUGCCAGCAGCCGCGGUAAUACGUAGGAGGCGAGCGUUAUCCGGAUUUACUGGGCGUAAAGAGAGCGUAGGCGGCUCUUUAAGUUCGGAGUGAAAUCUCCCGGCUCAACCGGGAGGGGUCUCUGAAUACUGGAGGGCUUGAGGGCAGCAGAGGGAGGUGGAAUUCCCGGUGUAGUGGUGAUAUGCGUAGAUAUCGGGAGGAACACCAGUGGCGAAGGCGGCCUCCUGGGCUGUACCUGACGCUGAGGCUCGAAAGCGUGGGGAGCGAACCGG
rnacentral:rRNA from 1 species